CAGAAUAUAGUUAGUUGUUAAAUAGGUUGUUGUGAUUAAGGUGUUUUGUUUAUUAAAUAAAUAAAUAAUUACUCCGUCAAAUAAAUAUUAUUUGGCGUAUAUUUUCCGUUUUAUGACAAUAUCAAAAUACAGAAUGAAAAUUAAACUUUGUUGUUCGUAUGUGUGUCUAAACGGUCAAAAUGAGAAGAUAAUAAUAAUUAUUUUAUCGCCGCAGGGUUGGACCGGUUUUCGUCACCCGCGGUCACUCGGCGUCGCGCGACCUGUCGGACGAGGAGAGGCAGCUGUGUCGCAGUCGCUAUCCAACGGUAAAGCCGGAAGUGCAAUGCGACCGCGUCAAGGUGUAGAUGAGAAGUUUCUUUAACUAGUAUUAUUUAAUAAAAUAUAUGAGACUCUUUGUGAUUGAGUUACUACUAAACAAAAUAAAUUAUCUCUGACGGGAUGGGAAUAAAAGGGUUCAUCAAAAACAGACCUGAACUAAACUUACGAAUAGUCAAGAUUUGUUAGAAUAUUUGUGUAAGUGAAUGCAAUAAAAAUAUAGACUAUACAUUUCUUAGCGUAUAAUAGUUGAAGAAAACUCAACAAUAAUUAUUCUAUAGACCUGAGGUUUCAUGUGUGAAUUAGGAUUUUAUAAUAUGAAGGUAGUUGAAUUUGAAUAAAUUUUAACUCUGAAUAAAUUCUAGUUUUCACUUCCAGGCCUUGAUAAUCGAGUUGAGUAAAAAAGAGAAUGCUUGAUCGAUUUGUACGCGAACGGACUACUGGCAAUAAUUUUUGAGAGAGUUUUUAUGGAAAUAUUUUAAUUAGAAUAAUUUUUGUGAAAGAUCUCGAUUUUCAAGAGACACCAUCUGUGAUGAAUUAAUUAGUUUUCGCAAUAAAGUUUUGAACCAUAUCCUCAUAUCCAGACACAUAUUAAAUUUUUAAAAAUAAUAUAGUGACUAAUAUUGAGUUUUUAUUUAAAAACAGCAAACUCCAAUAAAAUUAACUAGUCAUAUCUAAGGUUGUACAUUUAAAUCAAUUCGUAGAAAAAUAAUUAACGCCCACGUUUUGCAACUGAAAUAUUGGAAUCCAAAUAAGAGCGCACAACGAAUUUAUGAAAAUAUUUUUUAACAUAAUGUAUGUAUAUUUUAGCAUGUUUAAUUAUGAUAUUACAAUAUAUUUUCGUAUUUGAAAAGUUAUUAAUGAAAAAAUGUUAAAAAAGAACCUAUUGAAAAAAAUAUGCAGGAUAAAACUUUAUUUUGAAAUAGUAAGAGCAUGAAAUUAAUUGAACUUUAUCUAAAUGGUCUAUAGUUACUAAAAUGCAAAUGCUUAAAUUCUUCUUUUUUAGAUAUUUUUAUUUGAAUUUUCACUAUCUGCGCGGAAUGAACUAUCCACUUGAAAUAACCACUAUAGUAGUUACUUUGAUAUAAAACUACUGUUAAUAUAAUGUAUUUUAUAUGAAUAUAUAUAGAGUGUUAAAAUAUUAAGGAAGCAAGUCAAUUGUCACAAUAAAUUAUAAAGAAGAACAAAAAUAAGAUUAUAUCAGACCCUUGUUAGACCAACUGUAUUGUGUGCCUGUGGUGUAUGGGAUCUAAAAAAUCUGCCGAAAAAAAAUUAAUGAUUUUCGAAAGAUACUUCAACUAAAAAGGUAUUACCAUGUGUGCAGACUUUCGAACAAAGGAUUGUAUUGCCCAGAAGGCUGAUGUUAAAUCGAAGAUCAUGUCUUACUGCAAAAGUAUUCAAGGAGUAUUGUUUCGUUGAUGGGUUCUAUAAUGAUUACCACUCAUGUUUCACAAUUGAACUUAAGGAAGUUUAGUAAAGAAGGUGAGUAGAAGCACACUAUUCUGUUAUCUAAGACGCUAAAUCCUGCUGAAAAUGAAAUUAUGAUAUACCAACUUCUGCGGGCGAAGAAGAAAUAUAGAAAAUUUUUUUAAAAUUGAGCUCAUGGAAGUUUAGUAAAAAAGAUGAUGAAGAAGGACUCUGUUGAUCGUGAUGACAAAGAUUUUAUUUUAUUGUAGUUUUGAAAUGUGCAUUUUUAAACAUUCUGUAAUAAUUUGUCGUGUCUUAUAAGUGAAAUCGUGACAUUAUUUAUAUUGAUGUAUAAUUUUAUCAUAACAUAAAUCUGUAUUCUUAUU